rnacentral:rRNA from 1 species
AUUGAACGCUGGCGGCAGGCCUAACACAUGCAAGUCGAGCGGAAACGACAGUAUUGAAGCUUCGGUGGAUUUACUGGGCGUCGAGCGGCGGACGGGUGAGUAAUGCUUAGGAAUUUGCCCAGUCGAGGGGGAUAACCAUUGGAAACGAUGGCUAAUACCGCAUACGCCCUACGGGGGAAAGAGGGGGAUGCUUCGGCACCUUUCGCGAUUGGAUAAGCCUAAGUGAGAUUAGCUAGUUGGUGAGGUAAAGGCUCACCAAGGCGACGAUCUCUAGCUGGUUUGAGAGGAUGAUCAGCCACACUGGAACUGAGACACGGGUCCAGACUCCUACGGGAGGCAGCAGUGGGGAAUAUUGCACAAUGGGCGCAAGCCUGAUGCAGCCAUGCCGCGUGUAUGAAGAAGGCCUUCGGGUUGUAAAGUACUUUCAGCGAGGAGGAAGGUUAGUAGUUAAUACCUGCUAGCUGUGACGUUACUCGCAGAAGAAGCACC